GGGGGUGAUUUGGAUUCGACGGGAUGCUUGAGGUUAUUUGCUGCAUACCGAGCUUGGCUGGUGUUGCUCGUUAAUAAAACUAGUCAAUUUUAAAUGCCAACGAUAAUUUCGUUUUAGCCGCCUAAUAAAAGGUCGCUAACAUUUUCAUAGGUGUUCGCUUGUCGGUACUUAUGAAGGUGUCGAAAAAAGACAAGCUGGCAUAAAUUUCGAGAUGGGAUUUAUGCGAGAAAAUACAUCUCAAAAUGCUCUGAUGCCCGUUAAUCGGCAAACCAGAAGCAUAAAACAAUAGGUUAAAUAAGUAUGUAGAUGCAGUAGUUGAUGCAUUUCGGACGCGGGUUCAAAUCCCGCCACCUCCACAA
rnacentral:tmRNA from 1 species